rnacentral:misc_RNA from 1 species
GAAGUCAAGGAAAGAUGAGGGAUCAAGGAAAUCUGAUGUAACAUUUAAAGCUGCUUCUAAACACUCGGAAGAUGCUGCUGAGAUUGAGCACUAUGAACCUCCUACUCCAGUACAGUCAGACACAGUGGUCAAUAUGGGCAGCAAUGAUGCUAACGAAGAUGAAUAUAAUUACGAUGAUGACUUUGAGGAUUAUGAGGAUGAUUUUGAGGAUGAUGAUGAUAAUGAACAAAAGUCAAAUUCAGAGAUGGACGAGAUCAUGAAAGCCAUGAAUGAAGAAAAUGACAGAUUGAUGUCAGAAUCUCGGAAAAGUAACUGGUCUGAUUCAACUGAUGUUUCUGAUGAACGAAAAAUCUCAAGACCUACAACGGGUCACAGUCGGACAUUUAUCAACUUUGUUUCUGCCAAGCAGAGACAAAUUAGCCAAAAAGUAGCAAAUAAAACCAAAAAGCGGAGCGAGGAAUUAAGUGCCAUGAUUGAUCUAGAUGUAGCUGGUUUUGAGAUGUUUGAUAUGCCCCCUGUAAAGGAAUAUGAGCUUUACAUGAGAAGUUUUGGCAGGUCUAAUACCACACAGGCUUACAUCCAGACAGGGGAUGAUGAUGUUGAUCGUGAGAUUCAAACAGAGGAGAUUGACACCAGAGACAAGUGGAGUCAACAUCCUGGGGAGGGAACAAAAUCUUCUGGGGGGGCAGAAGGGGAAGUGGGAGCAGAUAAUGAGGAAGAGAAAGAAAAACCAGUAGAUGUUCAGAGUCUUGGUAAAUUCCUGGCUAAAGCAGGUCAGGCGAUAAGUGUGCUAUUGGAGGAGCAAUCUGCAUUGGACCAUCAACUCCAGGCAUCAGAAAGUAGAUCCAACAUUCCAUUUAGUGACAGCUACACCAUACUUGGCAAUACUCCAUUUUUACAAGGUAGACAAGUAAUACAUAGUCAAUUUGCAACUAUGCAGAGCAAUCUAUUCCUUGCUGUAUAUAGUCGACCAAAACAGGUUUCCCCUGGAGAUAUUUUAUCAAACAAAGGCCUGGUGUGUUUGUGGAAUAUACAUGAACCAUCAGCACCUCAAAAAAUUCUGGCCUGUGAGUCACAACCAACCUGCUGCUGUUUUAGUCCCAACAAAGCCCAUCUGGCUUUUGCUGGAAUGAGUGAUGGUUCUCUUGUUGUGUGGGACCUGAGGGAGAACCCAUCCCUACAUAAGCACAUCACACUGGCAGACAAAGAGUGGCUUGUUAGAUAUCCAACAUAUAGUACAGCUGGAAUAUUGCAGUAUGAUAACCACAACAGUGCAGUGACAUCUAUAUUGCCUGUGAUCUCACCACAGGACAAGGUCUCAAAAGGCAGUCAUGCAAGUGACAGUGAUGGACUGGGGUCAGGUCUUUCCUUUCAACUAGCCAGUAUGGAGGAGCAGGCGGUCCUGAAUCUAUGGGUUGUUGCUGAGAUUGUAACUGCUGAUGAGGCAGGGUCUGAGUCUGACCUGGGGCUGGCACCUGGAGGAAGAAUCAAACUGCUCAAGAGCUCAGCUGUACAUUUAGAAAACCCUGUAAAGACAUUUAAAGCAUCACUGAGGGCAUAUGAAAUGCAACUCUUGCCCUCUGAUCCAAGUCACUUCUAUGUUGGCACAGAUUCUGGCUAUGUGGUGCAUGGAGUGAGAUAUGGAGGCAAGGCACCCCCUAAAGGUUAUAAACCAGAAAUAGAAGCUCCUGUUGAAGUGUUCUGUCUGGACUUCAAUCCAUUCUCCUUCCCAAUCUUUCUGGCUGGCUGUGCAGAUGGUAGUAUACGCCUACACAACAUACAUUCAGAAAAUGCUGCAAUAUGCUGGGCAGACUCAACAGAGGGGAGGUCUAUUGUGUCUGUCCACUGGUCACGGAGCAGGCCUUCUAUGUUCUAUGCAGUUGAUACUGACUCUAUGAUUUAUGCCUGGGACCUCCUAAUGGACGAUGCCUGUCCUAUACAAGUACAUGAGAUAUCUGAUGGAUUAACAUCAGUGUGUCUCUGCAAUGAUCAUAAAGCAACCAAUAAAGUGAGUCCAGGCCAAAAGCCUCAAAUGGCUUUAUGCAGAUCUGAGGGUAACGUUGAGAUACACAGCUUUAAGCAGGAAUUCUCAGCUCAGGGGACUGAUGAAUUGACCACGUUCCAAAACUACUUAGACAGGAUUAUAUGACUUUGAGUUUAGAUAUAUGAGGUUGGGCUCGAUUACAUGAGAUUUAUUGGAAUAAUUUGAACUUCAUGUAUCAAUCAAGGUGUAGUUCGCUGUCGCAGUAGUUACCAGAUGAAUUGUGGCCUACAGAUGACCUUAAUACUCAAACCACAUGCAGGGUGACUUGCCCCUAAUCCAAGUCAUAAAUUCUUGCAUUUACUGUGCCAAGUGGUUCUUGGUCUCAAGCCGAAAUAGUCAUUGCAUUUGAUAUUGUGACAUUUUAAGGAUGGCACAAUAACAACUUUACAUUGUAUUCCAUCCAGGCAUGAUUUACUCUGCACAUCCGUCCAAACAUUCUUUGACUGACCAUUAGGCCUAUAUGUCACUGCCCCCAGGAUUCCGUGUU